rnacentral:rRNA from 1 species
ACUCAAAGGAAUUGACGGGGGCCCGCACAAGCGGUGGAGCAUGUGGAUUAAUACGUCACUAACCGUAGAACCUUACCCAGGCUUGACAUCUGUGGAACCCGCUUGAAAGGGCGGGGUGCCUCGCAAGAGGAGCCACAAGACAGGUGUUGCAUGGCUGUCGUCAGCUCGUGUCGUGAGAUGUUGGGUUAAGUCCCGCAACGAGCGCAACCCUCACCGUAUGUUGCCAGCGUAAAGUCGGGCACUCUUACGGAACUGCCCGGGUAACCGGGAGGAAGGUGGGGAUGACGUCAAGUCAGCAUGGCCCUUACGCCUGGGGCUUCACACAUGCUACAAUGGCCGGUACAGAGGGUUCCAAGCCCGCGAGGUGGAGGCAAUCCCAAAAAGCCGGUCUCAGUUCGGAUUGCAGGCUGCAACUCGCCUGCAUGAAGUUGGAAUCGCUAGUAACGGCCGGUCAGCUAAACGGCCGUGAAUACGUUCCCGGGCCUUGUACACACCGCCCGU